rnacentral:rRNA from 1 species
UACGGAGGGUGCAAGCGUUGUUCGGCAUUACUGGGCGUAAAGAGCGUGUGGGCGGCUGACCAAGUCCGGUGUGAAAGCCCGGGGCUUACCCCCGGAAGUGCGCUGGAAACUGGUCGACUAGAGUAUGGGAGAGGGAAGUGGAAUUCCUGGUGUAGCGGUGAAAUGCGUAGAUAUCAGGAGGAACACCGGCGGCGAAGGCGGCUUCCUGGACCAAUACUGACGCUGAGACGCGAAAGCGUGGGGAGCAAAUAGG